UUUGAGUCCAAAGAUGUGAGAUUGGAUCAAGUCAUGGGUGUAUAUAGGCUUAGAGUGAGCUCAAUCUCAUUAAGUUAGCCAGGAGAGUUUUUGGGCUAAGUCUCAUUGACUCAGGAUGUCUAUAUAUGCAUUUUAUAUGUGAUUUUUUUUGAUAAGGAAUGAAGAAACCUUUUUCUCCCUAAACCCUAGCCUUCUCUCUCCCUCUCUCUCUCUUUGCCACCACCUAAGAGGUGGAAUUCAUCUAAGGGGUGCUGGCCCUAAUCAUCGAAGGAAGGUGAUCAAGGGCACUAAGACCCUUGAUCCUUGAAACCCUAGCCGCCGCCCAC
rnacentral:lncRNA from 1 species